rnacentral:lncRNA from 1 species
AAAAAGGAGAAUUUGGGACACAGAGACAGACACACACACAGGAAGAACGCCAUGUGAAGACUGAAGUUAUGCUGCCACAAGACAAUGAACUACCAGAAGCUAGAAGAGAGGUCUAGAACAAAUCCAUUCUAGAACCUUCACAGAGAUUAUGUCCCUGGGGACACCUUGAUCUUGAACUUUUGGCCUCCAGAAUUAUCCACCACAGAGGCAAGACAUGCUAAAUAUAUGCUUUCCCUUGCAACCAGGGUGAGCCAUAUGACAUACUUCUAAAGAAAAGCUAUGAAGAUCAGAGGGGACUGAGAUGAAUUCUAACGUGGAGCCACAGCUUUGGGGAAAUUAACGAUAUCAUUCAAGAAAUGCCAAUAAUUGAGAACUGGCUCUAGAGUUAUUAACGAAGUCGGCGCUUUCUACUUUCAGACCAUAGUUUAACAAAGCAUUUCAAAGUACUGCUGAUGGAAGCUCCACCUGAAACCUGUUCUCCCAGAUAAGUAUCUUCAUCCCAUUCAUCGUUUCAAGAAAAGAAAUCUUACUGCAUGGCAGCAUUUUCAUCUGCUUUGGUUUCAGCUAGAGAUAAAUUGUGCCUGCUGCAAACUAAUUAGUAUCAGUCACCUAGAAAGCAGAAAUUGCAAGACAACAGGCUUCUCUUUCUUGAUAAACAGAUUGCUGGGUAAGUGAUGCACAUGGAUGUGACAAUUCAUUUGGCCAUAGAAAUAGCAGCAAUGAGACUUUUUGGACAGAUAUUUGGAAGGCAUGGGCAAAUCUCCCCAGCUUCCUCCGUUUGAGCGCAG